ACAGAUCUAGGAUAAGCAACGUCCAAAGUCUAAGUUUCUAACACUGAUAAUUCACACAGUAUACGUACCAUUUGCCGCAAUGAAGCAUUUGGCUAAACUUGGGUUGUACUUGCUUAUGCUGUGUUGUCAUUCUGGAUCUUCUAAAACACGUCGAAUGAAAGAAAGAAACACUUUUGCAGACUGCACAAGGAUUGGACUACAGGACAUACCUAAAUAUGUGUCACUGAACAUAUCAGAGCUUGAUCUUAGUCAUAAUAAAAUAUCAUUCCUCAGUAGCAAUGCAUUCCAACGAUUUG
rnacentral:lncRNA from 1 species